rnacentral:sRNA from 1 species
CCGGAGAGAACUCGAGAGUGCAGAGACGAGGGCCGGGUCAAGCGAAAAAUCCGACGGUCCAGAGGGCGGGGGCAAGAAGCGAGGGGCGGGAUUGCGGCCCCUGUAAACUGGAGUUGCUGGUGGGCAGCCCUGCUUCCUGCAUGGAACUGGAGCUGUAUGGAGUUGACGACAAAUUCUACAGCAAGCUGGAUCAGGAGGAUGCACUGCUGGGCUCCUACCCUGUAGAUGAUGGCUGCCGCAUCCACGUCAUUGACCACAGUGGCGCCCGCCUUGGUGAGUAUGAGGACGUGUCCCAAGUGGAGAAGUACACGAUCUCACAAGAAGCCUACGACCAGAGGCAAGACACGGUCCGCUCUUUCCUGAAGCGCAGCAAGCUCGGCCGGUACAACGAGGAGGAGCGGGCUCAGCAGGAGGCCGAGGCCGCCCAGCGCCUCGCCGAGGAGAAGGCCCAGGCCAGCUCCAUCCCCGUGGGCAGCCGCUGUGAGGUGCGGGCGGCGGGACAAUCCCCUCGCCGGGGCACCGUCAUGUAUGUAGGUGCGUGGCCCGCGGGCCCCGUCCCGGGCUCUAGGGCUCCAAGGCCGGGAGGAAACGUUAUGGGCGCAGUGGAGCCUCGGAGAUCACGCUCUGCCUUGGGGCGCGGGGUGGGGGGUACUCGAAA